GCAUCGAUAGUGCAAUGGUUCUAGCGCGAACCCCUGAAUAGAAUGAAAUGUGGGUUCGAGUCCCAUCUGAAGCA